GAGUUUGAUCAUGGCUCAGAAUGAACGCUGGCGGCAGGCCUAACACAUGCAAGUCGAACGGAGUUAUAUUGUAGCUUGCUAUGGUAUAACUUAGUGGCAGACGGGUGAGUAAUGUAUAGGAAUCUACCUAGUAGUACGGAAUAAUUGUUGGAAACGGCAACUAAUACCGUAUACGCCCUACGGGGGAAAAAUUUAUUGCUAUUAGAUGAGCCUAUAUUAGAUUAGUUAGUUGGUGAGGUAAAGGCUUACCAAGACAAUGAUCUAUAGCUGAUCUGAGAGGAUGAUCAGCCACACUGGAACUGAGAUACGGUCCAGGCUCCUACGGGAGGCAGCAGUGGGGAAUAUUGGACAAUGGGCGAAAGCCUGAUCCAGCCAUGCCGCAUGAGUGAAGAAGGCCUUCGGGUUGUAAAGCUCUUUUAGUGAGGAAGAUAAUGACGGUACUCACAGAAGAAGUCCUGGCUAACUCCGUGCCAGCAGCCGCGGUAAUACGGAGAGGGCUAGCGUUAUUCGGAAUCAUUGGGCGUAAAGGGCGCGUAGGCGGGUUAGUAAGUUAAAAGUGAAAUCCCAAGGCUCAACCUUGGAACUGCUUUUAAAACUGCUAGUCUAGAGAUUGAAAGAGGAUAGAGGAAUUCCUAGUGUAGAGAUGAAAUUCGUAAAUAUUANGAGGAACACCAGUGGCGNA
rnacentral:rRNA from 2 species